GGGGUAUGACUCACCCCUACCAUCUGUAUCCUAGGGUAUGAGUACCCAAAACUAUGCCAAGACCCUACACAUUGGCUUCUAUGCGACUCAACCCUCUCCACUCAUACCUAAGGGUAUGAGUCGUACACCAAAUCGUACCCACAUCUCGUACCUUGGACAUACUUCACAAGACAACUCAAUCAAGCACCAUAAAACUUGCCUUGCACCA
rnacentral:lncRNA from 1 species